UACGGAGGGGGCUAGCGGUGUUCGGAAUUACUGGGCGUAAAGCGCGCGUAGGGGGCUGGGUAAGUCAGGGGUGAAAUCCCGGGGCUCAACCCCGGAACUGCCCUUGAAACUGGAUGGCUAGAAUACUGGAGAGGUGAGUGGAAUUCCGAGUGUAGAGGUGAAAUUAGUAGAUAUUCGGAAGAACACCAGUGGCGAAGGCGACUCACUGGACAGUUAUUGACGCUGAGGUGCGAAAGCGUGGGGAGCAAACAGG
rnacentral:rRNA from 1 species